rnacentral:lncRNA from 1 species
CGGGUAGAAAAGAAAUUGUAAGGUUUGUAUAAGAGAGUUGUCGAGAGAAAAUAGUUCUAUUGUAUGAAAUAUAUGUUGUGAGAUUUAUGAAAGUUUGUUUAUUUGAGUGAAAAAGUGAUAUUCUAUCACAACUUUUACCCAUCAGUUAGCAGUAGCAGUUGAGGGCUUCCAGUCGCACCAGACGACAGUAUAACUUCACUUCCGGAUCUUUAAAGAUCACUCCAAUUGUCCUUGGUUUUUUCCCUGCAAUGAACAUGUUGGUAAUAUUGUCUUAAGGAGAAAGUGCUAUCACUUGCCUCAGAUUUGAUCUUCGUUUUCUACUCCUCCUUAUUUUAUUUUUCUUAUUUGGCUUUGUGGUUUUGUACUACAUUUCCAUUUCAUAAAUUUGUGAUUUAAACUACGCUCACAAACAACCAUCUUUACCGCUCACAAAUAAGCCUGUUACCAACAAUCUUAAGACAAUAUCGCCCUACUACGGUGCUCACGGUUGACGGCACUUGUCUCCCAAGAUACAACGAAUUUUUAAUCUUGUGGUAGUAGCACUUCACACCACAAGAACCGGCGAACCGACAAAAUUUCCUCUCUACAAAGGAAUUUUAUGCAAGAAGAGGAAAGAUUUUGCAAAAGAAGAAGAGUGUUCAAUGCAAAAUAUGAGGUGGUAUUUUUUUAAAGGACGUCCAAAUGGUCCUAUUUAUAGAUGAAGAAGGGGUGCAAGUNGAGUUCG